GACGCUUUAAGAGAAAUGUUAUUUUAAAGUUUGUUGUGCUAAGUGAACAGUUCGAUAUUAGAAAGUGCAAGAUAUUACAUAUGUACAUAGUUAUAUAAUUAAAUUCAAAUGGCUACUACCUCAUCUAAUGUUCGUGUUAGAUCUAAAACCCUAAUUUAUUUAAUUGGGUAUUCAUCUCAUCAAAUAAUCGGGAGUAAACUGCCAUCUAAUCAUCAAGUGUUAAAGUCAUUGUUUUACAACAUUCGUGAAGUUGGAUUACCUUUUAGUAAUGCUGCAAAACUCACUCUGACGGAAGUUCUUGUGUUCUGGGAGAAAGCUAGAAUACCUUAUCAAUUACGAAAAACUGCUGUUCGCAAAGUCGAAAAAUUAUAUAAAAUUAAAUUAUAUUCAGAAGUGUUCAAGAUUGAAGACAAAACGUCAAGAGGAAAAAAAUCUUGCAUUCACAUCCAAACUGUCCGAUCUUUUUGAUGUAGCAGUGGAAGAUGCCAUUUCAAAAAUGUCUAAUCAGGAAGAUAUAAAUUUUUGACAUAUCAGAUAAUGAAAGGACGUCCAGGCCAUAUGGAAGGUAUCGAUGUGAAUACAGCUCUAGCUGAAGAGCGGCGAUGGCGACAGAUUUCACCAGUAAGCGCUGUAUGUCGCUCAAGCUAAAUAAUAGACACAUCGAAGAAUACUAGUUUGAAGAUAUUCCUUCAGAUAGCGAGAGUAUUUGUAGCGACGAGGAUACAGAAGAUCAGCCAAAUCCGCUGGUGUUAGGCGAUUCGAAUGGAGAAGUUCAAAUGACUGAUUAUGACAACUUUGAUUCCGAUGAUGACAUCCCUCUGUCUAACUUAGUACUUCGGAAUCCUGAAUCUACAGAGUCUAACACUGUAAACUCAAUCAGACCGGCUACAAUGGCUCCAAAAUGAAAGAAGAAUUAUAGAAUGGACAUACCUGCUGAAAUUACUGAAAGUGUGGUAAUAACCGAUCAAAUUCUUAGCAUGGAGAAUGUGCAACCUCUUAUACUAUUUCGCCUUUUUUGGACAGAGCAUUUACAAGAUAUUUUAUGCUUUCAAACUAAUCUUUACGCUACUCAAUCAGGAAAGCUUUAUUCACCCACCACUACAGAAGAGCUUGAUGCUUUUAUUGCUUUGAACUUGGUAAUGGGUAUGAAGAAAUUGCCGACCUACAGAGAUUACUGGUCAUCAGCACCUGAUUUGCAUGACGGGUAUGUAUCGAGGUUCAUGAGCUUUAAUAGAUUCAGUUGGCUUUUGAAUUACUUACAGUGGAUUGCCAAAUUAUUAGGGACAGUCGCAUUUUUCCCCAAUUUGUUCCUUUGGGCGCAGUUGAGUGCGGUUUUAAGAGCAACAACUUUACAGGAAAGUACUUUUUGCGUUCACCACAUCUUGAUAACUUCAGUUUUAAGUAGAUUUUGAGAGUUAAUGUAUUUGUUUACUUUCUACAAAUAUUUUAUUAAAGGUAGACUCGCAGGGUGCUGAACACGUAUUUUAGUGAAAGUUGAAAUUAAUUAUUUAAAAAAAGUUUUUAUCAUUUUUGUGCAACAAACGCAGAUCAAAUUAUGGGUCGAGGGUGUUAUUUGUCCCCAAGGAAAAAAUCAGAGAUUAAAACUCUUCUCCAGCACAUAAGCCAUUCGCAAAGGAACAUAGCAGAACUAGCUGGAGUUUCUAAGACAGAAGUGAAUAAAAUAAAGAUUAGUUUGGAUCAAAAUCAAUCACUUUCGCCAAAAAAAAGGGCAAGAGUGGAAGAAAACGCAUAACAACAUCACGAUCUGACCGGAAAAUUCGGGACAUCUGCUUGCAAAACAGGAAGAAAAGUGCUGGGCUCUUAACUCAAUUAGUUCAAGAGUCUGGAGUAGUAGUAUCCAAAAGAACCGUGCAGCGAAGGUUAGCAGAAGAAGGGUUGACUUGUCAUCGUCCUGCUAAGGAAACCUCGGUUAACAGAUGCGAUGAAGAAAAAACGUCUUGCCUGGUCCCAAAAAUACCGCCAGAAGACUGAUGAGGACUGGAGUAAGGUAUGUUUUUCAGAGGAGUCAACCUUUGAAAUUCUGGCCGACAAGAGCAGCUUCGUCCAGGCGAAAAAUGUCACCCUGACUGCAUUGUGGAGAGGGUUAAACACCCUGUUAAAAUAAUGGUGUGGUCUGUCAUAAGUGCUAAAGGGGUUGGACGUCUCUACAUUGUCCAGGGUACCAUGAGACAAGACCAAUACAGACAAGUUCUGGAAACUCGACUGUUACCGCAACUUAAGGAUUGGUUCCCAGACGGUGAGGAAUUCAUUUUUAUGCAUGAUUCAGCGCCAUGUCAUAAAGCAAGAAGCAUAACCAAAUUUCUGGCAGACCAUAACAUUCCAGUUUUACCUUGGCCUGGCAAUUUACCUGACAUGAACCCCAUAGAAAAUUUAUGGCAGAUUACCAAGGCCGAAAUUGCCAAAGAGAUAAUAAUUACCGAGGUAAAAUUGAUUGAAAGUUAAUAAAUGUAUGGCACUACAACCCCAUGAUUAAAGAAAGUGCCUUAACGUGCAUAGAAAGUAUGCCCAGACGGAUUAAAGCACUCAUUGAGGCGAAAGGAAAUGUGACUAAAUACUGAUUAUUAAUCAGAAAUAUUUUAUCUCGCUCAUAUGUAUAUUUUUGAAAUAAUUAUUUUUAUUUUUUUGUUCUUAUGUUAGUUUGUAAAUUACUCUUUUAUUAUUAUUAAAGCUUUUUAUACCCUGAACAGGGUAUAUUAAGUUUGUCACGAAGUUUGUAACACCCAGAAGGAAUCGUCGGAGACCCUAUAAAGUAUAUAUAUAAAUGAUCAGUAUGUCGAGCUGAGUCGAUUUAGCCAUGUCCGUCUGUCUGUCCGUCUGUCCGUCUGUCUGUAUAUAUACGAACUAGUCUCUCAGUUUUUAAGAUAUCGUUUUGAAAAUUUGCAAACGUCAUUUCCUCUUCAAGAAGCUGCUCAUUUGUCGGAACGGCCGAUAUCGGACCACUAUAACAUAUAGCUGCCAUACAAACUGAACGAUCGGAAUCAAAUGCUUGUAUGGAAAACUUUCACAUUUGACAAGAUAUAUUCACGAAAUUUUGUAUAUGAUAUUCCCUAAAGAAACAAUGUAAUUUCCGAAGAAAUUGUUCAGAUCGGUCAACUAUAGCAUAUAGCUGCCAUACAAACUGAACGAUCGGAAUCAAGUGCUUGUAUGGACAACUUUUACAUUUGACAAUAUAUAUUCACGAACUUUGGUAUAUGUUAUUCCCUAAAGCAACAAUGUAAUUUCCGAAGAAAUUGUUCAGAUCGGUCAACUAUAGCAUAUAGCUGCCAUACAAACUGAACGAUCGGAAUCAAGUGCUUGUAUGGACAACUUUCACAUUUGACAAUAUAUAUUCACGAAAUUUUGUAUAUGUUAUUCCCUAAAGAAACAAUGUAAUUUCCGAAGAAAUUGUUCAGAUCGGUCAACUAUAGCAUAUAGCUGCCAUACAAACUGAACGAUCGGAAUCAAGUGCUUGUAUGGACAACUUUCAAAUUUGACAAUAUAUAUUCACGAAAUUUGGUAUAUGUUAUUCCCUAAAGCAACAAUGUAAUUUCCGAAGAAAUUGUUUAGAUCGGUUAACUAUAGCAUAUAGCUGCCAUACAAACUGAACGAUCGGAAUCAAGUUCUUGUAUGGACAACUUUCACAUUUGGCAGGAUAUAUUCACGAAAUUUGGUAUAUGUUAUUUUUUAAGCCAACAAUGUAAUCUCUAAAAAACUUGUUUACAACGGAUUACUAUAGCAUAUAGCUUCCAUACAAACUGAACACAUAGUUACUAACAGAAAUGCACCUGAGUUAAGGAAUGUAUUCCUUAUAAUAGUAACAAACAUCAAAACAACCUUUUGUUUCAGUAAACAGAAUGCAGAAACAACCUUGAGUUAGAACAAUUGAAGUGCACUGUCACUACAACAAAUAAUCCUAAACAAACAAGUAUCAAAACAACAUUGAGUUUGAAUACCACAACCUUAUCUUAGAACAAAGCAAUUGUAUCUAAGCAAGCAAUAUAUAUAUAAACAAACCUAAACAAAUAAUAUAAUCUGUAUCUUAACAAACUAUCAACUAGUAAUAAGUAAACAUAUUAGUUAGUAUAAAUAGAAGUAAGAACCAUGUAAUAAGUUAGUCUUAAGAGUAUAAAUAAAGAGUACACAUUUCGGUGCAGCUCAAAAUA